GAUGAACGCUGGCGGCGUGCCUAAUACAUGCAAGUCGAGCGAACGGACGAGGAGCUUGCUUUUCUGACGUUAGCGGCGGACGGGUGAGUAACACGUGGAUAACCUACCUAUAAGACUGGGAUAACUUCGGGAAACCGGAGCUAAUACCGGAUAAUAUUUUGAACCGCAUGGUUCAAUAGUGAAAGACGGUCUUGCUGUCACUUAUAGAUGGAUCCGCGCUGCAUUAGCUAGUUGGUAAGGUAACGGCUUACCAAGGCAACGAUGCAUAGCCGACCUGAGAGGGUGAUCGGCCACACUGGAACUGAGACACGGUCCAGACGCCUACGGGAGGCAGCAGUAGGGAAUCUUCCGCAAUGGGCGAAAGCCUGACGGAGCAACGCCGCGUGAGUGAUGAAGGUCUUCGGAUCGUAAAACUCUGUUAUUAGGGAAGAACAGAUGUGUAAGUAACUGUGCACAUCUUGACGGUACCUAAUCAGAAAGCCACGGCUAACUACGUG
rnacentral:rRNA from 1 species